UACGUAGGGUGCAAGCGUUAAUCGGAAUUACUGGGCGUAAAGCGUGCGCAGGCGGUUAUGCAAGACAGAUGUGAAAUCCCCGGGCUCAACCUGGGAAUGGCAGUGGAUACUGGAAAGCUAGAGUGUGUCAGAGGAUGGUGGAAUUCCCGGUGUAGCGGUGAAAUGCGUAGAGAUCGGGAGGAACAUCAGUAGCGAAGGCGGCCAUCUGGGACAACACUGACGCUGAGGCACGAAAGCGUGGGGAGCAAACAGG
rnacentral:rRNA from 1 species